ACCCGGGUUGCGGACAGUGUCUGGUGGGUAGUUUGACUGGGGCGGUCUCCUCCUAAAGAGUAACGGAGGAGCACGAAGGUUAGCUAAUCCUGGUCGGACAUCAGGAGGUUAGUGCAAAGGCAUAAGCUAGCUUGACUGCGAGAGUGACGGCUCGAGCAGGUGCGAAAGCAGGUCUUAGUGAUCCGGUGGUUCUGAAUGGAAGGGCCAUCGCUCAACGGAUAAAAGGUACUCCGGGGAUAACAGGCUGAUACCGCCCAAGAGUUCAUAUCGACGGCGGUGUUUGGCACCUCGAUGUCGGCUCAUCACAUCCUGGGGCUGAAGUAGGUCCCAAGGGUAUGGCUGUUCGCCAUUUAAAGUGGUACGCGAGCUGGGUUUAGAACGUCGUGAGACAGUUCGGUCCCUAUCUGCCGUGGGCGCUGGAGAAUUGAGGGGGGCUGCUCCUAGUACGAGAGGACCGGAGUGGACGCAUCACUGGUGUUCGGGUUGUCAUGCCAAUGGCAUUGCCCGGUAGCUAAAUGCGGAAGAGAUAAGUGCUGAAAGCAUCUAAGCACGAAACUUGCCCCG
rnacentral:rRNA from 1 species